rnacentral:siRNA from 1 species
UAUUCUUGUAGUGCAACAACCA